AGGAUCUGUGAUUCCUCUUAACGGACUUUUAAUCCGUUGGUCACUGGUUCGAAUCCAGUACGUCCUA
rnacentral:tRNA from 1 species